rnacentral:rRNA from 1 species
GACGAACGCUGGCGGCGUGUCUAAUACAUGCAAGUAGAACGCUGAAGGAGGAGCUUGCUCUUCUGGAUGAGUUGCGAACGGGUGAGUAACGCGUAGGUAACCUGCCUGGUAGCGGGGGAUAACUAUUGGAAACGAUAGCUAAUACCGCAUAAAAUUGAUUAUUGCAUGAUAGUCAAUUAAAAGGUGCAAUUGCAUCACUACCAGAUGGACCUGCGUUGUAUUAGCUAGUUGGUGAGGUAACGGCUCACCAAGGCAACGAUACAUAGCCGACCUGAGAGGGUGAUCGGCCACACUGGGACUGAGACACGGCCCAGACUCCUACGGGAGGCAGCAGUAGGGAAUCUUCGGCAAUGGACGGAAGGCUGACCGAGCAACGCCGCGUGAGUGAAGAAGGUUUUCGGAUCGUAAAGAUCUGUUGUAAGAGAAGAACGAGGGUGAGAGUGGAAAGUUCACACUGUGACGGUAUCUUACCAGAAAGGGACGGCUAACUACGUG